CUGCUCACUCUAGCAGCACAUGUACUAAACUUGAAAUGAUACAGAGAAGAUUAACAUGGCCCCUGUGCAAGGAUGGAACACAAAUUGACGAAGUGUUCCAUAUUUAA